UACGGGGGGGGCAAGCGUUGUUCGGAAUUACUGGGCGUAAAGGGCUCGUAGGUGGCCAACUAAGUCAGACGUGAAAUCCCUCAGCUUAACUGGGGAACUGCGUCUGAUACUGGAUGGCUUGAGUUUGGGAGAGGGAUGCGGAAUUCCAGGUGUAGCGGUGAAAUGCGUAGAUAUCUGGAGGAACACCGGUGGCGAAGGCGGCAUCCUGGACCAAUUCUGACGCUGAUGAGCGAAAGCCAGGGGAGCAAACGGG
rnacentral:rRNA from 1 species